UACGUAGGGUGCGAGCGUUGUCCGGAAUUAUUGGGCGUAAAGGGCUCGUAGGCGGUCUGUUGCGUCGGGAGUGAAAACUCAGGGCUUAACCCUGAGCCUGCUUCCGAUACGGGCAGACUAGAGGUAUGCAGGGGAGAACGGAAUUCCUGGUGUAGCGGUGAAAUGCGUAGAUAUCUGGAGGAACACCGGUGGCGAAGGCGGCAUCCUGGACCAAUACUGACGCUGAGGAGCGAAAGCCAGGGGAGCAAAGCGGGG
rnacentral:rRNA from 1 species